rnacentral:ncRNA from 1 species
CAGCUUCUGUGUUGGGCCCCACCCCAACUUGCAUUGUCUGUUGAAAUUGGUGAUCCAAUUUCUCUAUGUUGGGGCCCCGCCAACUUGCAUUGUCUGUUGGAAUUGGUGAUCCUAUUUCUCUCUGUUGUGGCCCCACGAGUAUUGAAAAAACUUGUUAUAAGCUUAUUUUCAUUUAGUCAACUACUACCAAUAUAGCACUAGAACUGGAAAUGAUAAUUUAAUAUU